ACAUUUGGUGAGUAUGUCGUGCUGAAAUAAGUUCAUAAUUUCAUCAGGGCAUGAUAUAAAUAACUAAAACUUAUAAAAUUGAUCGUAGGACGGUUUAUUCCCACAGUUGAGCCACCGGGAGGCCACAUGGAGUCCUGUUUUCGCAUUCUUUUAUUCUCGGUGAAAGAAACUUAUGUAAGCCCAACCGGAAUGAUUAAUCAAUGUAACCUGCCUUUGGAAGCCAUUCUGAUGACCUCUGAUGAUCUGACAGCCCUGAGCAUAUGAAACUGGAUACAGCUUGCAAGCAAACAUGUAAUUAAUUAGCCAUCCCAAUUGUGAAGGUUCGGUUUUGGCCUUUCUCUGUUGUUCUAUAAAGUGGCUUUUUGACUGUCUGUGACAGUGUCUCUGUAAAAUGCAAUAUUCAAGUAAAAUUGAAUGUCAGCCCCAUAUUUUUCAUAUUGUGCAUCCCUAAUUGCUAAUGUUUACUGACAAAAAGUAAUUGACAUUUUGUAUUGAAAAUUUAACCUGCAAUAUGU